rnacentral:rRNA from 1 species
GACCGGCGCACGGGUGGAGUAACGCGUAUCCAACCUGCCCAUCACUUGGGGAUAACCUUGCGAAAGUAAGACUAAUACCCAAUGAUAUCUCUAGAAGACAUCUGAAAGAGAUUAAAGAUUUAUCGGUGAUGGAUGGGGAUGCGUCUGAUCAGCUUGUUGGCGGGGUAACGGCCCACCAAGGCGACGAUCAGUAGGGGUUCUGAGAGGAAGGUCCCCCACAUUGGAACUGAGACACGGUCCAAACUCCUACGGGAGGCAGCAGUGAGGAAUAUUGGUCAAUGGACGAGAGUCUGAACCAGCCAAGUAGCGUGCAGGAUGACGGCCCUAUGGGUUGUAAACUGCUUUUAUAAGGGAAUAAAGUGAGAGUCGUGACUAUUUUUGCAUGUACCUUAUGAAUAAGGACCGGCUAAUUCCGUGCCAGCAGCCGCGGUAAUACGGAAGAUCCGGGCGUUAUCCGGAUUUAUUGGGUUUAAAGGGAGCGUAGGCCGGAGAUUAAGCGUGUUGUGAAAUGUAGACGCUCAACGUCUGCACUGCAGCGCGAACUGGUUUCCUUGAGUACGCACAAAGUGGGCGGAAUUCGUGGUGUAGCGGUGAAAUGCUUAGAUAUCACGAAGAACUCCGAUUGCGAAGGCAGCUCACUGGAGCGCAACUGACGCUGAAGCUCGAAAGUGCGGGUAUCGGAACAGGAUUAGAUACCCUGGUAGUCCGCACGGUAAACGAUGGAUGCCCGCUG